AGUGGCGGACGGGUGAGUAAUGCUUAGGAAUCUGCCCAGUAGCGGGGGAUAGCUCGGAGAAAUCCGAAUUAAUACCGCAUACGCCCUACGGGGGAAAGCAGGGGAUCUUCGGACCUUGCACUAUUGGAUGAGCCUAAGUCAGAUUAGCUUGUUGGUGGGGUAAUGGCCUACCAAGGCGACGAUCUGUAGCUGGUCUGAGAGGACGAUCAGCCACACUGGAACUGAGAC
rnacentral:rRNA from 14 species